rnacentral:rRNA from 1 species
AGCUCCAGUAGCGUAUAUUAAAGUUGUUGCAGUUAAAAAGCUCGUAGUUGGAUUUCUGGCAAGGCAGAGCUAACCUGGUACUAUGUAUCGUGUGUUGGACUCGGUCUGCCAUCCUUCCAGAAAAGCAUCAUACCAUUCACUUGGCCGUGGUGUCGAUCUGGAACUUUUACUUUGAAAAAAUUAGAGUGUUCAAAGCAGGCGUUACGCUAUGAAUACAUUAGCAUGGAAUAAUAAUUUAGGACUUCAGUUCUAUUUUGUUGGUUUCUAGGACAGAAGUAAUGAUUGAUAGGGAUAGUUGGGGGUGCUAGUAUUCAGCGGCCAGAGGUGAAAUUCUUGGAUUCGCUGAAGACUAACUUAUGCGAAAGCAUUCACCAAGGAUGUCUUCUUUAAUCAAGAACGA